CAUGCGACUUAGUUUUCUCAGAAAAUUGAAACAGGGAGAUAUAUGUCUCAUCUUCUACCCACAUAUGUAAAUCAAAAGAGUAGAGCUUGAGAGGGAAGAGGAGAUAUAUAUAGAGAGAGAGCGUGAAGGACAGGGGUGAUGACCGUAGGUUCACCACCGUCACCAUCACCGUCAAUCCACCUUUGCGGUCACAACUACACUACCGGAUCAUCUCAGAGAGUCACCACGUCACUUUUGCCUCAAGGAUUUCAGUGGUGAAGAUGGCGAUUCUGAGGACCAUCGGUCUUGUGAUGUUCUUGUCCGGUAAUAAUCUUAGAUAUAAAAAAUUGAUCAUCGGCGAAGAGGAGGGACUUUGUUAGACUUUGUCGUUAACGAGGCUUGCAAAGAUAUGACUUUAAAUCAGAAAUAAAAAAGAAAAUACAACAUUGAUUUCUAUUCCUGGACACAUUGCUAGAAAUUGUGUUCAUCGCCCAAACGUGCAACAAGAUGUUAAUACUAAAUCUUGUGCUGAUGUUUGUGAGCCGGUUCACAAGAAGCGAAAGGAGCUAAAACGAGCAGAUCAAAAUCGAGGGUACAAGAAGUCUGCUUGUCCUCAUAAGUCUCGUGACAAGGUGAAUGAAAGCUCCAAUCAAGGAUAUACCCAACUCGAAUCCUAGCCCGGUUUGUAAGUACUUUGUUGGUGUUGCUGUUUUGUUCAGGAUUUAAGUAGCCAGGUUA